rnacentral:siRNA from 1 species
CCGGGAAGUCCUCGUGUUGCAUCC